rnacentral:rRNA from 1 species
UAGGGAAUCUUCGGCAAUGGACGAAAGUCUGACCGAGCAACGCCGCGUGAGUGAAGAAGGUUUUCGGAUCGUAAAACUCUGUUGGAUAGAGAAGAACGUUGGUGAGAGUGGAAAGCUCAUCAAGUGACGGUAACUACCCAGAAAGGGACGGCUAACUACGUGCCAGCAGCCGCGGUAAUACGUAGGUCCCGAGCGUUGUCCGGAUUUAUUGGGCGUAAAGCGAGCGAGGUGGUUUAUUAAGUCUGGUGUAAAAGGCAGUGGCUCAACCACUGUAUGCAUUGGAAACUGGUAGACUUGAGUGCAGGAGAGGAGAG